rnacentral:rRNA from 1 species
GUAGUCCACACCGUAAACGAUGACAGCUAGUUGUUGGCAGGCAUGCCUGUCGGUGACGCAGCUAACGCAUUAAGCUGUCCGCCUGGGGAGUACGGCCGCAAGGUUAAAACUCAAAGAAAUUGACGGGGGCCCGCACAAGCGGUGGAGUAUGUGGUUUAAUUCGAAGCAACGCGCAGAACCUUACCUGGCCUUGACAUCCCGGGACAAGCUCAGAGAUGAGCCUUUACCUUCGGGUACUCGGAGACAGAUGCUGCAUGGCUGUCGUCAGCUCGUGUUGUGAAAUGUUCGGUUAAGUCCGGCAACGAGCGCAACCCCUAUCCUUAGUUACCAGCAUUAAGUUGGGGACUCUAGGGAGACUGCCGGUGUCAAACCGGAGGAAGGCGGGGAUGACGUCAAGUCCUCAUGGCUCUUACGGCCAGGGCUACACACGUACUACAGUGGUAGAAACAAACGGUCGCGAAACCGCGAGGUCAAGCUAAUCCGUAAAACACUAUCUCAGUCCGGAUUGGAGUCUGCAACUCGACUCCAUGAAGUUGGAAUCGCUAGUAAUCGCAGAUCAGCACGCUGCGGUGAAUACGUUCCCGGGCCUUGUACACACCGCCCGUCACACCACGAAAGUGGUCUUAACCAGAAGCAGGUGAGCUAACUUCGGAGGCAGCCUACCAAGGUUGAGGCCGUGAUUGGGGUG